UACGAAGGGGGCUAGCGUUGUUCGGAAUUACUGGGCGUAAAGCGUGCGUAGGUGGUUUGUUAAGUCUGCUGUGAAAGCCCCGGGCUCAACCUGGGAAUGGCAGUGGAUACUGGCAAGCUAGAGUGCGGUAGAGGGGUGUGGAAUUCCCGGUGUAGCGGUGAAAUGCGUAGAUAUGCGGAGGAACACCGAUGGCGAAGGCAAUCCCCUAGGCCUGCACUGACGCUCAUGCACGAAAGCGUGGGGAGCAAACAGG
rnacentral:rRNA from 1 species